AUUUGUCUUCAUUACUGUUCAGAAGGUCCUGAUCUCUUUCUUAGUCCAUAUGUUGUUUAAUUUAGUAUCACAUAAAUUUAUUGGCAUGAAAUUGCCAUAUCCACAUUGUUGAAUGUUUACAUGCGCUUGGAGCUGCAGGAGGAUUGGAAUCUAUUGUAACCAUUAAAGCAAUCAACACUAACUAACUGCAUCCAACCAUUAAUUAAUGUAACUUGGAGUCUGAUGUUACAGUCAACACUGUUCCAAACGUGAAGAGCAUGAAGUCCAUAUUGGUAUCUCCAACUCAUUUGGCUUUGGUGGGCAUAAUGUGACAGUUACUUUCGCUCCAUUCAAGCCCUAGAUGAAGGUCAGACUAAUAUCCCCAGGCUCCAGCCAACUAUUUCUACUGGUACGUGGCCCCUCCCUUGGCCAAUGCUUCCACCUACUAUUCUUUCUUCCUUCCCAGGUACCAAGGAAGAGCAAUAUGAUCAACCUGAGGAACAGUACCACGUUGAAGACCUCUUGAACCAAAAAGGGGAGUUCGUAGAACCGUGGGUGAAUUGCUAGAAGAAGCUCUAUUUAUUUUAGUAUUGUAAUUUCAAUUCCAAAAGUGCUUGCACAACUGUCGUACUCUAUUUUAUUCAGUAAUAUGUGAAACCUAAUUAUGUCAACUUUAAUUUUAAUGAUUAAAGACUUCCGAUGUUUAA